rnacentral:rRNA from 1 species
CCUACGGGAGGCAGCAGUAAGGAAUAUUGGCCAAUGGACGCAAGUCUGAACCAGCUAUGCCGCGUGAAGGAUUAAGGUCCUCUGGAUUGUAAACUUCUUUUAUCUGGGACGAAAAAGGUCUUUCUAGACCCCUUGGCGGUACCAGAUGAAUAAGCACCGGCUAACUCCGUGCCAGCAGCCGCGGUAAUACGGAGGGUGCAAGCGUUAUCCGGAUUCACUGGGUUUAAAGGGUGCGUAGGCGGGUAGGUAAGUCAGUGGUGAAAUCCUGGAGCUCAACUCCAGAACUGCCAUUGAUACUAUCUAUCUUGAAUAUUGUGGAGGUAAGCGGAAUAUGUCAUGUAGCGGUGAAAUGCUUAGAUAUGACAUAGAACACCCAUUGCGAAGGCAGCUUACUACGCAUAUAUUGACGCUGAGGCACGAAAGCGUGGGGAUCAAACAGGAUUAGAUACCCUGGUAGUCCACGCCCUAAACGAUGGAUACUCGACAUACGCGAUACACUGUGUGUGUCUGAGAGAAGACAUAAGUAAUACCACCGUACGGAAGGUACGUUACGUCGAGAAGUAGAACGUACGAAAGAAAGUUAGUACGGACGUUAGAGACGNGCCGACGGACGACGACGAGGGAGGAGGNG